rnacentral:misc_RNA from 1 species
UCACUCUCUCUCUCUCUCUCUGAGCCCCAAUGUUUCUAUAUCCAUGGCAGAUCAAACCCAGAAUCCACAAAUUUUUGAGCUCAACAAUGGUACCAUGCUCGUCAAGAUCACGAAUUUCGGUUGCAUCAUUACUUCCAUGCCCGUACCUGAUAAAAAUGGGAAUUUAGCUGAUGUUGUUCUUGGAUUUGACUCUGUUGAGCCAUAUCUGGUAAUUCUAUUCAAUUCAUCUUUCUGUUUAUAUUCUAAUCAAACUUAUUGGCUAAUUGACUGGCUUUUUUUAAUGAUGCGAUCAAAAUUCUAUCAGCUUUGCCUGCAAUUAACAUUUGAUCAUAUUCAUGGGAUUUCCUUUCCCUUAAGAAAGGUGGGCACAAUUAUGUAAUAUGGGAGGUAGCAGAAUAUAAUAAAGGCGAAAACACCCAUCAAUCACCUUCGAGUACCAGAGUCAUGGUGGAUAGGAAGGUAGUCACUACUCACUGCUCUCUCUCUCUGAUCUUUAACGUUUCUUGUGGUAAUAAGUGGGGAUCUUUCUGUAUCUGAACCAUACACACUUACUUCAAGCACAAUAAUGAGGCUUGACAUGGAAGCAGUGCCCAAGGAUAAACCAUCUCCAGUCAUGCCAGUUAAAGGCACGCACACCUUUUGACUUCACCAUUGGAGAAGAAGGUUAGUGAUUCAAUUCAUGAAGUUGGUUUAGGGUAAUGAUCACAAAUAUGUGCUUGACUGUGGCGAAGAAAAAUCAGGUUUGAAACAUGCUACAAAACUCAAGGAUCCAUCAAGCUCAAGGGUCCUUAACUUGUGAACCAAUGCUCCUGGGAUGCAGUUUUACACUGGAAACUACGUGAAUGGAGUUGUUUAUAAAGGAGGUGCUGUUUAUGGAAAGCAUUCAGGUCUUCGUUUAGAGACACAAGGGUUUCCUAAUGCCAGAAACCAAUCAAACUUCGCAUCAGUGGCCAUUCAACCUGAUGAGACGUAUAAGCACACA